UUGUUGGGUACUUACAUGUAUUAAUGGAAUUUGUAAAAUAUUGAAUCUUAGUUAAUGUUUGUUGUCUCCAUACAGGUGAUGCCCUCAGGAAAUGUGAAAGGACACACAGAACCAGCCAAUGGUGAACAGAAACCAAAAUCAGAUACAGAAAAGGAUGCUUCUGAGGUUGCAGCUUUGCAAGAUAAACUGAACCAAGCAAACAAUUGUGGCAGAGUUUAGAAAUCAGUGUGGGAAGCUAAAGAAAGGCUUGAAAGUUGCUCACCAGUGAGAGUCGCACUUGAAAUGACAUUACACAAAUCUCUUGACUCUGAUGAUGACUUUUGCGCAGGUUGUCAAAACGUCAGUCAUGCAACGUCACCACAAACAGUCCUUCUCAGAACUACACUCACCUGGACAAUCAUACUUCAUUUACGGUAGUUACCUGUAUGAUAUCACUCCCGGUUUCAAAUCAUUUCCAGUUUGAAUUAGAUAUUAAGUGUCUGCCUGACAACAAUGCCCAUUUCAGACAGGUUAUAAUAUUUUGUACAAGUUACUUCUCAGUACUCGUUAUAUUAAUAUCCAUCAAGCAAUCAAUCAGUCACUCAAUAUUAGUCAGUCAGUCUGAGUC